GAGGGUAUAGCUCAGUGGUAAAGUACGUGCUUAACAUGCACAAGGUCCUAGGUUCAAGCCCCAGUACUGCCA
rnacentral:tRNA from 1 species